UACAGGGGGUGCAAGCGUUGUUCGGAAUUACUGGCGUAAAGCGCGGGCAGGUGGCCUUUUAAGUCCUUUGUGAAAUCCCGGAGCUCAACUCCGGAUGUGCAUAGGAUACUGGAAGCUAGAGACUGGUAGAGGCGAGCGGAAUUCCUAGUGUAGAGGUGAAAUUCGUAGAUAUUAGGAAGAACACCAGUGGCGAAGGCGGCUCACUGGUCCGGUACUGACGCUGAGGUGCGAAAGCGUGGGGAGCA
rnacentral:rRNA from 1 species